rnacentral:rRNA from 1 species
UACAGGGGCCUCGAGCGUUAGGCGGAAUCACUGGGCUUAAAGCGUGUGUAGGCGGAUCGUUAAGUACCUUGUGAAAUCCCACGGCUUAACCGUGGAACUGCUGGGUAUACUGGCGAUCUUGAGCCAUCUAGGGGCGAGCGGAACAAAUGGUGGAGCGGUGAAAUGCAUAGAUAUCGCUUGGAACGCCGAAGGUGAAAACAGGUCGCUGGGGAUGUGCCGACGCUGAGACACGAAAGCCAGGGGAGCAAACAGG